UGGGGAAUCUUGCACAAUGGGGGGAACCCUGAUGCAGCGACGCCGCGUGAGCGAUGAAGCCCUUCGGGGUGUAAAGCUCUUUCGGCAGGAACGAUAAUGACGGUACCUGCAGAAGAAGCUGCGGCUAACUACGUGCCAGCAGCCGCGGUAAUACGUAGGCAGCGAGCGUUGUUCGGAGUUACUGGGCGUAAAGAGUAUGUAGGCGGUUCUCCAAGUCUGGUGUGAAAUCUCCCGGCUUAACCGGGAGGGUGCAUUGGAAACUGGGGGGCUGGAGUGCGGGAGAGGGAAGCGGAAUUCCUGGUGUAGCGGUGAAAUGCGUAGAUAUCAGGAGGAACACCCGCGGUGUAGACGGCUUCCUGGACCGUAACUGACGCUGAGAUACGAAAGCGUGGGGAGCAAACAGGAUU
rnacentral:rRNA from 1 species